UGCGGUUAAAAAGCUCGUAGUUGGAUUUCUGUCGAGGGCGAGCGGUCCACCCGAUGGGUGAGUAUCUGUCAGGCCUUGGCAUCCUCUUGGAGAACGUAGCUGUGCUUCAUUGCGUGGCGCGGAAUUCAAGACUUUUACUUUGAGGAAAUUAGAGUGUUCACGGCAAGCAAUCGCUUUGAAUACAUUAGCAUGGAAUAAUAAUAUAGGACCUUGGUACUAUUUUGUUGGUUUCUAGAACUAAGGUAAUGAUUAAUAGGGACAGUUUGGGGGCAUUCGUAUUAACGCGUCAGAGGUGGAAUUCUUGGAUUGCGUUACGACGAACUACUGCGAAAGCAUUUGCCAAGGAUGUUUUCAUUGAUCAAGAACGAAAGUAUGGGGAUCGAAGACGAUUAGAUACCGUCGUAGUCUAUACCAUAAACUAUGCCAACUAGAGAUUGGAGGUCGUAUAAUUCAUGACUCCUUCAGCACCUUACGAGAAAUCAAAGUUUUUGGGUUCCGGGGGGAGUAUGGUCGCAAGGCUGAAACUUA
rnacentral:rRNA from 1 species